AAACUUGAGAGUUUGAUCAUGGCUCAGAACGUACGCUGGCGGCACGCCUAACACAUGCAAGUCGAACGAAGUAGCAAUACUUAGUGGCAGACGGGUGAGUAACAUGUGGGUAUCUGCCCUUUGGCCUGGAAUAACACGAGGAAACUUGUGCUAAUACCGGAUAAGUCUUUACGGAGAAAGCUUUAUGCACCAUUGGAUGAGCCUGCACUUGAUUAGUUUGUUGGUGGGGUAAUGGCCUACCAAGACUGUGAUCAAUAGCUGAUUUGAGAGGAUGAUCAGCCACAUUGGGACUGAGACACGGCCCAAACUCCUACGGGAGGCAGCAGUGGGGAAUCUUGCACAAUGGAGGAAACUCUGAUGCAGCGAUGCCGCGUGAGUGAAGAAGGCCCUUGGGUUGUAAAGCUCUUUCGUCGGGGAAGAAAAUGACUGUACCCGAAUAAGAAGGUCCGGCUAACUUCGUGCCAGCAGCCGCGGUAAUACGAAGGGACCUAGCGUAGUUCGGAUUUACUGGGCUUAAAGAGUUCGUAGGUGGUUGAAAAAGUUGGUGGUGAAAUCCCAGAGCUUAACUCUGGAACUGCCAUCAAAACUUUUCAGCUAGAGUAUGAUAGAGGAAAGCAGAAUUUCUAGUGUAGAGGUGAAAUUCGUAGAUAUUAGAAAGAAUACCAAUUGCGAAGGCAGCUUUCUGGAUCAUUACUGACACUGAGGAACGAAAGCAUGGGUAGCGAAGAGGAUUAGAUACCCUCGUAGUCCAUGCCGUAAACGAUGUGUGUUAGACGUUGGAAAUUUAUUUUCAGUGUCGCAGCGAAAGCGAUAAACACACCGCCUGGGGAGUACGACCGCAAGGUUAAAACUCAAAUGAAUUGACGGGGACCCGCACAAGUAGUGGAGCAUGUGGUUUAAUUCGAAGAUACGCGCAGAACCUUACCAACACUUGACAUGUUCGUCGCGACUCUAAGAGAUUAGAGUUUUCGGUUCGGCCGGACGAAACACAGGUGCUGCAUGGCUGUCGUCAGCUCGUGUCGUGAGAUGUUGGGUUAAGUCCCGCAACGAGCGCAACCCUCACUUUUAGUUGCCAUCAUUAAGUUGGGCACUCUGAAAGAACUGCCAGUGAUAAGCUGGAGGAAGGUGGGGAUGACGUCAAGUCCUCAUGGCCCUUACGUGUUGGGCUACACACGUGCUACAAUGGUAUCUACAACAGGAAGCAAGACUGCGAAGUUAAGCAAAUCCCUAAAAGAUACCUCAGUUCGGAUUGCACUCUGCAACUCGAGUGCAUGAAGCUGGAAUUACUAGUAAUCGUGGAUCAGCGUGCCACGGUGAAUGCGUUCCCGGGUCUUGUACACACCGCCCGUCACACCAUGGGAGUUGGUUCUACCUUAAGGCAAGGUUUCAAACCCUUGACCACGGUAUAGUCAGCGACUGGGGUGAAGUCGUAACAAGGUAGCCGUAGGGGAACCUGCGGCUGGAUUACCUCCUUU
rnacentral:rRNA from 1 species